rnacentral:lncRNA from 1 species
CUCGUACCUGUGGCCGCGUGGCGGGGGCGGGUCAGGUCGGGGCACGAGGACGGAGUUCAGGUAGUUGGGCGACUGUUGGAAAAACUGGCCUCUCCUCGCUCCGCGCUUCGCCGCCGCCUCCCCGGGUCCUGCCGCUGCCGAGGUCGCGCAGAGGUGGACCCGCCCGCGUCCUGCCCUCGGUGAGCGCUCCGGGGCCGGCGGCGGUUCCGGCUCCUGCGGGAGCCCCGCGCCCUCAGCCUGUUGUGCGCAGAGUUGAGGCUCCGACUUGGGGCGAGUGGGCCCGGCGGGGCAGGGGCGAGGGCGGCGGGGCGGAGGAGAGGCAGUCAAAACAGCUGAUUAUGACGGAAACGGCUCUGUGUCCCCGCUUCUGCCCGGCCGCCUCCCUGCAGCCUGGGGUUCAGGUUGGUCGCCCAGCUGGCCAUCAGCAUGCAGGGGGUGCAGGGACCCGGUGAGACUGGGAGGGGAGGGAGCCUGCAAGAAAGGGGUCCCAGGAUGUCCCCUGAGGCUCUGAGCACCCCAGACCCACUCACAGACCGAAGUGCGGGGUGGUGACUGGGGCAGGGUCUCGAGUUGGCCCCAUCUGAGACUCCCUCUGUGACUGUGUGACGAGACCUUGGCAGGCGCCAGACUGGACGCCCUCCUCAACGGGAGCUCUGGGUCCUCCCACGCCCCCCGGGGUGGGCACUCCUGCCCGUUUUGCAGAUCAGAAAAGUCGCUGGGAGAGGCUGAGGCCACAGGCUCCCAAGCGGUGGAUUUGGGACUCAGACCCCCAGCUGUGGUGCCGGUGGGUGUGGAGAGAAAAGGAAAGCCGGGUUGCUGGUGACUUACUGCUGCCCGGCCUGGUGUGGGGCUGCAGGGCUCCUGUGUGGCCCCCAUGUCCCCUUUCCCCAUUAAUACUUUGCACACUGGCGUGCACACACGCACAGGGCUGGGCUCUUCGAGAGGGUCCCGUCUGGAACAGGACGCUCAGAUCUGUCUCUGCCCCAUCCCUGACGUGGCCGGGCCCUGGCUGGGGCCGUGAGCAGGGCAGGUCCCUGUCCCUGACAUCCUGGGAGGGUCCUGGGACGGCACGAGUACGGCCCGGGCUGCAGGGUGGCUGUGCCGGAGCCCCGUCAUCUGGCUUCUGCGGCUGCCGUGCUGCAUGUGGACUGAAGGACAAAGGCAGGAGCAGGUCAGACAGGACAGGGGCAGUGGAGGGGGUGACAGGUGCUCAGACCUUAGACGUGUCUCUGCAGGGAGAACCAGGGCAGCUUCACAGGCACGUGACACUGCUGUCACACGAGGUCCUUUGUCAGAAGACCUCACAGUUGGCGCGUGCUCUGCUGUCACCAUGUUGGAACCCUUCUCUUCCCGGCUUUGUUGAGACGUGGUUGACACAGAACACGUGUGAGUCUAAGGUGAACAGCGUGACGGUUUGAGCCACACGCACGUUGCAGGAUGGCACCCACAGUAGUUCACCCCUCUGUCACCUCACAUUUUUAUUGGUGAGAACAUCUCAGAUCUACUCUUAGCAACUCAAGAAUUUAAUACGGUGUUAACUCUAGCUACAUGCUGCACACUUGUCCCCAGAAUUCGUUUAUCUUAUAGCUGGACGUUUGUACGUUUUGUCCGAUGUCUCUUUCCCACCCCCAGCCCACGGCAACCCCCAUUCUCCUCUGUUUCUGCGAGUUUGACUGCCUUGGACUCCACGUGUAAGUGGGUUAUACAGGGUUCAUCUCUGUGGGCCUUAUGUUACUGAGGAUGAUGCCCUCAGGUGAGCUCACGUUGUGCAACUGCCAGGAUUCCCGCCCCUCUCACGGCCGAGCAGGGUUCUGUUUCAUACCCCACGUCUGCUCUAUCGGUCCAUCCGUGGACGGGCGCUCGGGUGGUCUCCGCAUCCUGGCUGGUGUGGCCAGUGCUCCGUCACCGCACGGCUCCCUCGUGUUGCCCUUUUUUCUCACACUCACUCCUUCCUGCCCCCUCAGCCUGGCAGCAUUUCGUCUGCUCCCCGUCUCUAUAAUUUUGUCGUUUCAG